UCUCCGCUUUAUCUCAAAAAGAGAGAAACCAUCUAUCUCUUCCUUUGUAACUAUCGAUUUUUCAUCUUCUGCAAUUUCUAUCUCUCUCUCUUGCUAACAUCACUUUAUUCUCAAUAACUCUCACUUUCACAAUCGACCCUCUUUCUGUUCCACUCCCGACGGCGGCAUAUAAUGGGCAACCGAUCUAAUAGCGAAAUUCUUAAUCAAGUCCAGUUGUCCACCAUGUACUCUAUCUGAUCCACCUUACCCCUCCGUAGGCGACCAACACAGUGGUCUAGUUUCGGAGACCCUCUACCCGAGCUUGUAGAUCCAAAACCCAUGAGGUAGCCACAAGUCAGAGAGUAGAGAAAGACAAGAUUGAAGUCUCUCCAACCAGCUUUGAAGUCCCGAGGAAGCCACAAGUCAGAGAUUAGAGAAAGAACAAAUUGAAGACUCUCCAACCGAGUAUAUGCUUAUGGACCAGAUGUGUUAUGAUUAUUUGUUUCUUCUUCCAAUUAAUCAUUAAUCUUGGUAGCGAUGGACCAUUUGUCAUUUGUUAGUGAUGGACCAUCGAUGGACUAUUUGCAUAAAUAGACAUGUAUCUGAUGGACCAAUGUAAAUGACUUGUCUUUAAUAGACCAUUCAUAACAUAAUUUCAAUUUUGUCUAUUA